AUUUCGGCAAAGGUUUGUAGAGAAAGGAGUUGGUAAGGAGUAUUGCUGUUUCCUCAGUCGACUUGUGAGAAUUUCCAGCAAUAAAAAAGGUUGGGAGAGCUGUUUAAUUACGCCCCUGCUCGGCCCACACAAACAUUGUAAAACAAUAACAAUAAAAACGAGCUGAGCGCUGGAAGGUUCGUACGAGUAAAUAAUGUGCGAAGGGAAAAUAUGUGAAAUGCUAAUGCAAACAGUUUUUCACAUUCUCAUUUUUCCCAGAAAAAUAUUGGCCGAGAACCCGCUUUAUGAUCCUUGAGCAACACCGUUUAUAGCGCAGUUUCGGCGAGGGGCGUUUGCCAAAUGACUUUUAAAUGCCGUCUGUGAUUCGGCCUUAACUAUCGUAAUUGUUUUUCUGUGUUCUGGGUCUGUUCUUUUACAGCACACAGCGAGACGAAAAACAAGCUGAAUAAUGUUGCUGAGCUCAAGCACAAUGUUGAAGCCUUUGGGAGUUGGCUUGGGCUUGGGCUCGGGCUCGGGCUCGGGCAAUGGUAGAUUGUUAAAAAAGCAUUCAAGGAAGAAUUAUGGACUUUUCCCAGGUGAACUGAACCACUAGAACCCAAAGAAAUUCGAUUUACCUUUGGCUUUGACUGCUCAGAUUUCGUUGCGUUCUUUUCUCUGGAUACUCAAG
rnacentral:lncRNA from 1 species